rnacentral:misc_RNA from 1 species
UCACGUCUUACGACGGCAGUUUCACUAGAGUUCCCAGCGUUACCUGAUGGCAACUAGUGAUGGGGGUUGCGCUCGUUGCGGGACUUAACCCAACAUCUCACGACACGAGCUGACGACAGCCAUGCAGCACCUGUGAUUCGGCCCUUACGGGCGGGGACAUUUCUGCCACCCUUCCAAACCAUGUCAAACCCAGGUAAGGUUCUUCGCGUUGCAUCGAAUUAAACCACAUGCUCCACCGCUUGUGCGGGCCCCCGUCAAUUUCUUUGAGUUUUAACCUUGCGGCCGUACUCCCCAGGCGGGACACUUAACGCGUUAGCUUCGGCACUGAAGGGGUCAAUACCUCCAACACCAAGUGUCCAUCGUUUAUGGCGUGGACUAC